rnacentral:rRNA from 1 species
AUGAAUACCCAAUCCCAAAAAUUUAAGUAUCUGGAGUUGCCCCUCUCCCUCGGAAGACUUAGGCAUGUGGACCUUCAACCCUACAUCGACAAAGCGGUGGCUCGUCUUAGCCCGUGGAAAGGAAAGUUCCUGAAUCGUGCCGGGUGCACUGCUCUGGUUAAGUCCGUGCUCUCCUCCAUGCCAAUAUUCUUGCUGACGGCUUUAACGGCUGACAAAGGCAUCCUCAAGGCCUUUGCGAAGAUCGGUCACAGCAUGCUCUGGGCUUGUAAGGAGGCAGUUAGUGGAGGGAAAUGCAAAGUCAACUGGCAAAAGGUCUGCCCCCCCAAGGAGCUCGGUGGUUUGGGGAUUUUGGACCUGGAGAGGUUCUCCUGGGCCCUGAGGCUUCGCUGGUUAUGGUAUGAGUGGAAGGCUCCUGAGAAGCCAUGGGUGGGCUCUAAAACCCCCAACGACGCCUCUGACAUUGCCCUCUUCAAUGUGGCUACUCGUGUCACCAUCGGAAACGGCGCCAAGGCCUCCUUCUGGUCAUCUUCAUGGCUCCAUGCUGCCCCACCAAAAGACCUGGCUCCACUAAUUUUCAAGGCUUCCAAGAGGAAGAAUCGGACGGAGCUCUUGUCGGAUAUCCAGCUUCAUCCUGACACUGAGGACUCCAUUACCUGGUCCUUGACCCCUAUUGGGCGCUACUCGGCCAGCUCCGCCUACAAGGUCCAGUUCCUUGCCUCUUUGCCCUGCCAGUUCGGGAACAUCAUGUGGAAGACCUAG